GGGUUUGGUUCAGUGUGUUUGGUGUUGAAUCAUUUUCAUACUGCGCCAGCAGGGGUAUUUGUGGGAAGUGGGCUGUGUGUGGGGAACUCUGAAGUACGGUGGUCUGUUGGUGCCACGUAGGGCCAUCCUUCAAGCUCCCAGGCUGUCAGAGCCCGGAGGAGCUAAAGGUACAAAGACCGUGAGAGUCGUGAGGAGGGCAUCGUGCCUGCCUGACACCAUCCUCCCCCCGCGGCCUUCCCCCGCCCUUCCUGGCCUUUCCACUGGCCCCUGAGAACCCUUCUCAUUCCCACCUCCGCCCUCCAAACACAGCAACCCUGCUAAGGCUGCUACAGAUACUGGCUGCCCCCCAUUCCCCGUUGCUGGGCCAUGGCCUCUGCAGUGAAGAAGCCUGACACUAAGGUACCCUGGGCGUGGGGUGGAGGCCCACACGCUGCGUAAUCCUCUGGGGUCUCUUUGCACUUUAAGAAGCAGCACCUGUGGCGUGUUCCUGGACGCCCUGGGUUGCCUCAGCCAGGUGACCUGACAGAGUAAAAGAUGCCUCGGAACAAUCCCCGCCACUCCCAGGCCCAAACGCUUCCUGUUGGCUGUUGGAGGGCGGGGUAGGCCCUUUGCUCACUGACUUCUCUGGAUAAGCUGGAUAUCUCACCGUUUCUAGUUGUUUGACAAAAUAAGGUGCUUGGAAAAACUAAAUUAUCCCUGCAAGUUUUACCGCCUCCUUAGGGAUACAAGUCAAAAAACAAAUCCAAGGUACAUGAAUGUCUUACGUAAAUGUUGGAUGCCGGGUUUCUUCUGUUCUGGUGGAUCUGUGCUUCAUGCUUUAUAGGUCGGGGCUUGGCUGGAAGGCAGUGUUUGUGUUCAGUUUUGACUGAGGUGGUCAGACUCAUGCUUCUCUGGCCCUCCAACUCCCUCAGCACUGAGCCCCAGGCAGGUGAGGAAAUGACUCCAUUAAUCUCUGCCUUUUCUAGGUCAUGCUCACCUACUCCCAGUCAGCCCCAGUUUGGGGUGGGGGUGGCCUGGGGCCACUGUCCCAUGUGUGAACUAAAACAGAAGUGGCCCGGAUCCCUCCCACUGCCCAGUCUACACUACCACCCCUUUGUGCUGGCACACUGGGCUAGCUGCAACCUUGGCUUUGCACCAGGAACUUCACAAGCCCCGAGCUGUCCUGCCUUCCCAGGCAACUCCCACCCUGAGACUGCACAGUCCUUGUAAGUGGUAGGUGAUUUUUCUGGAUGGGGAAGGGGCACGGUAAGGGCGAACGCCUGUGCAUUGCAUCAUUACCCAUGUGGGAGUAGCAGAGACCAGGCUUCCACAGGUUAGCCUCCGGUCCCAUGAUGCCCCUGGGCAGCUGCAGGGACCCCCUCAUGUGCCUGCCCCCAAUGUCCUGCCAGGGCUUUAACUGUGCAGGUGCGGGCUGGUGGCUCAUGCCCCGAAAGCCACAAUCGGACAGGAAGCUUCAGGGGUUCCUCUUUGUUUCCUUUGCUAACUCAGUUACAUUUUCUGCUUCUCGGGCUGGAGGACAUUCAUCCCAAGUUGGCAUGGUACCAGCAGCAGUGCUGGGCCCUGGGCUUUGGCCUCUGGGGGUGGGGGUGGAGGUCAUCAUUUGGACCAAAUGGGCACUUGGAGGGGACCCACGAAGGCGAGUGUGGGAUGUGUUGGGGCAGGCUACCCGUAACUGGAAUGCUUCCCACCCCCCACCUCCCGUUCAUCUAGUGUGUUAAGCUCUGGAAAGUUAUCUGACAAGUCAUUCUCAUGUGAGCUGCACCACGGCUCUAGGAAUUGAGGGAGUGGCAGGCAUUAAUUCACCUUUGCCAAAAUGGGUAAGCAUGUCAGUGGGGGUAUGGGGCUCCGUUCGGUGCCUCACAGCAAAAUAGCGGUGUGCCCGGAAGCGUUCUCCCUGUCCGGUGUUCUUUCUACAUCCACAAGAGUGUAGGCACCAGGAGCUGGAAAUGAACAGCCCUCGGUUUUAAGUAUAAGGCUGAUUCUGGAUCUGCAGCACCGAUGGUUCCACAGAGGGAAGUGGUCCAAGGUUAGGAGGCGUGGCUUGUGAAUUUGCCCUCAGUUCUUGGUUGUGUUGCAUGUGGGUAUCACAGCACAUUUAUUCCUGCGUUCUGUCAAGUUCUUCCCAUCACUUGGCAUUUUGAGGAGGAAUGUGAAAUACUGAGUGCUGUUUCCUGGGUUUUCCUACAUCCACUGCCAUCUUGGUCUUCCUGCUUAAAGCAGAAUGCAUGCUGCAGGUGAGAUUCUUCUAGCAGAAUGUGUGUGUCCUUGCCAGGGUGGACGGGGUGACAGCAUAGGGGCAGCACACCGGCCAGGAGGGGCUGGGAGAGCACGACUUCCCUCGUCCUUGCAUCUUGGCUCCUCCGGGGGAGGGGGUGCGGGGGGGGGGGGUACCUAGAGAGACGCCAUCCCCUAGGCCAUGGGUGUUCCGGCCUCAGCCUGAAACUCGGAAACCAGUCAGCUGCAUUGUAAUCUAAGGUCAUCUCAUCUGUGCCCUCCCCAGUCCCCUCCUAAGAGGAGACCUACACUGCGGGGGGGAUGUUUGCUGGAGGAAGUGUUGGCUCUGCCACUGAGGGCUCUGCUUUUCCAAGAGAAGGAAGCUCCAGGGAUUUGGGUGGGUUGCUGCGGACCAAGUUCCUUCACACCACCUUCCUCGUGUGCGAUGGGCAUGGGUGGCCGCGGGGCCUGGGAACGGGCCCAGCUUGGCUGGGGACAGUCGCGGUGCUCGUUCCCUGGCACUGCUGGUUUCCGCAGACAAUGGACGGAAGAGUUGCCCUCACUCCGGUUUGCUGGGCAGGUUCAAGCCGCUCGUUCGUGCUUAGGUGAAAGGACGACUGAGUCGUGUAUGCCGAAAGCCCAAGUCACGUCCAUGACUGCUGGUGAUCGCACCAGAGAAGGCCUGGCAUGAGGGGAAGGGCCACUCUCGUCUAAGGUCCCGGCCUGGGCCCGCCGCCGCUGUCUUAGAAGGGAAGGAUUCUUCUCACCACCUCCUCUGAGAGCCAUCUCAGCCGGCCGCCUGCCUGCAGACUCCUCGAGGGUCAGAGGCGACUGCCUGCAGCUCCUGCCCAGCAGCCCCCCUCGGCAAGCUCCAACAGCAGUGAUGUUACACUUCAAUGUAGUCGAGACAGGGCGUAAGUUAUUGUUUGCAUAAAAAAGAAUCAUGUUCCCUGUGUACAUUUAAAGAAAUUUUUUAAAAAGUCUGAAUUGUUGGGAAUAAAACUUGUUUGAAAAUUCGGAAUAGUGCUGCUGCCAGCUUAUUUUCUGGUACUUGUAUUUUCACAUGUUAAAUGAUCUUAUAUAUGUUGAAUUAACAAAUAUUUUGAGGUUUCCUGAGGGGAAAAAAAAAAACAUUAAUGGUAUUGAAAUGUGUUAGUAGUCUGGCUGUGUGCCCAAAAUUCUGUUUCGCAGCAAAAGUGAAGUGUAUGUAAAGAAAGUAUAACAAUUAUUUCUUUGUGUUUUAGGGGCUUUAACCAGGACAUCCUCUAGUUGGUAUUAGGAAUGUUUGCUUAAUUUCCAGACUUUUUUUUUUAAACACGUGGGUUUUUUGAGGCUCCAACCUGAUUAGUGCAUGGUCAGCCAUCAACUAAGGCUGAGGCAUCUCUGACUGAGGUGUUUUUGUUUGGUUUUGUUUUUUAAAAUCAUGUAUUUGCUACAGAGUAUUGUACUUGUCUCAAUGGGAAUGGUGUAAAAAACUGAAAAGGCCUUAUGUGACAUGUAUCAUAGUUAAUAAAUCAAUCUUGUAAAAAACC
ensembl:lncRNA